rnacentral:rRNA from 1 species
GACGAACGCUGGCGGCGUGCCUAAUACAUGCAAGUCGAACGCAGUGGGGACGGGUGAGUAACACGUGGGUAACCUCCCAUCAGAGGGGAUAACACUUGGAAACAGGUGCUAAACCGCUACUGAUUGAUGGACCCGCGGGGCAUUAGCUAGGUGGUGAGGUAACGGCUCACCAAGGCCACGAUGCAUAGCCGACUUGAGAGGGUGAUCGGCCGCACUGGGAUUGAGACUGGGACCAGACUCCUACGGGUGGCAGCAGUAGGGAAUCUGCGGCAAUUGACGAAAGGCUGACCGAGCAACGCCGCUUGAGUGAAGAAGGUUUUCGGAUCGUAAAACUCUGUUGUUAGAGAAGCGGUAUCUAGCCAGAAAGCCACGGCUAACUACGUGCCAGCAGCCGCGGUAAUAC